rnacentral:lncRNA from 1 species
GUUUUUAAGAGUCUCUUAUGCUUUGGCUGUCUCACUCUCUAAACUCUUUUUUUUAUCCCCUCCCCCAUGGACUUCUGUUAAGUUUCUCAGGAUCCACAUAAGAGUGAAAACAUAUGGGACCUGUCUUUCUCUGUAUGACUUAUUUCACUUAGCAUAACACUCUCCAGUUCCAUUCACGUUGCUACAAAAGGGCUUAUUUCAUUCUUUCUCAUUGCCACGUAGUAUUCCAUUGUGUAUAUAAACCACAACUUCUUUAUCCAUUCAUCAGUUGAUGGACAUUUAGGCUUUUUCCAUAAUUUGGCUCUUGUUGAAAGUGCUGCUAUAAACAUUAGGGUACAAGUGCCCCUAUGCAUCCGCACUCCUGUAUCCCUUGGGUAAAUUCCUAGUAGUGCUAUUGCUGGGUCAUAGGGUAGGUCUAUUUUUAAUUUUUUGAGGAACCUCCACACUGUUUUCCAGAGAGGCUGCACCAAUUUGCAUUCCCACCAACAGUGCAAGAGGGUUCCCGUUUCUCCACAUCCUCGCCAACAUCUAUAGUCUCCUGUUUGUUCAUUUUAGCCACUCUGACUGAUGUGAGGUGAUAUCUGAGUGUGGUUUUGAUUUGUAUUUCCCUGAUGAGGAGCGACGUUGAGCAUCUUUUCAUGCGCCUGUUGGCCAUCCGGAUGUCUUCUUUAGAGAAGUGUCUAUUCAUAUUUUCUGCCCAUUUAUCAUUGCAUUAUUUGUUUUUUUUUUUUUUUUUUUUUUAAUGUUUAUUUAUUUUUGAGACAGAGAGAGACAGAGCAUGAACGGGGGAGGGUCAGAGAGAGAGAGACACAGAAUCUGAAACAGGCUCCAGGCUCUGAGCUGUCAGCACAGAGCCCGACGCGGGGCUCGAACUCACAGACCGCGAGAUCAUGACCUGAGCCGAAGUCGGCCACUUAACCGACUGAGCCACCCAGGCGCCCCACAUUAUUUGUUUUUUGGUUGUGGAGUUUGGUGAAUUCUUUAUAGAUUUUGGAUACUAGCCCUUUGUCCAAUAUGUCAUUUGCAAAUAUCUUUUCCCAUUCCAUUGGUUGCCUUUUAGUUUUGUUGACUGUUUCCUUUGCAGUGAAGAAGCUUUUUAUCUUCAUGAGGUCCCAAUAGUUCAUCUUUGCUUUUAA